CAUGGACAUCAUCAAGCAUUUGUAGGUAAUCACUGCCUCUGUGUGUGCUCUCAUUGCCCAGUAUCCGUCUUGAAAUCAAAGGGGUGCAGUGACAGAAAUCAGUGAGGGUCCUGCUCUGAACCUCCAUGCAUUGUGCCACUGUGCUGGUCCCUGGGUGGGCAGACCUUGGGCAGCUCAAAGGGGCUGUCAGAAAUAGCUGCUUUUUCUCACCAGGUGAGCUGGUGAUUAUAAAUGCAGGAGUUGCUGUAAGCACUUCAGCAGUACAAUGGUAUUACAGAAGAACCUAAGAGGAAAUUAAUAGGAGCAGAGUUAGCAGAUUUGAAUAGCAUGUCGUACAAAAGGCUGAGGAAUCCAUCAGCCCUUGGCAAGACCUCUCACAGAAGAUAUCAGCCCAGCCAGUUAAAGUCAGGCAGCAUUAGAAGAAACUGAAGAUAAUGCCAACCUGCAUAACAGACACUGCCACCUAUCACAGUAAUGAGAUUUCAUAAAGAAAAACCCAUCUCAGCGGCUUCCAAAAGGAUUUCUUUUAGCAGACAGUUGGACACCUGGGCUGAUUAAACACAGAUACAAGUUUGAACUACUGGAACAGCCUAUCAUGUUUUGUUGCACCCAGGCAGUUCAAGAUGCAGCAAACACAUCCAGCCCAUUUCAGCUCAGCUCUGAAUGUAUGCACCCUGUGAGAUAACUACACAUUUAGUCCCUGCAAUGAACACAGUGCAGCACACAACACAUCAGAAGUCAUUCCAUGGGAAUGGGCACUCUGCUCAGGCCCCAAGGGUGGGAACAGCAUCCUGCAACCUCUGCCAUGAGACAGCAAGAGGCAGUAUGCAUAGAUUGGCUGUCACCCCAUCCUGCAGGCUGAUGGAGAAAAGCAGGACAGUGUCACUUGCACUUGGUUAGAAGAUAGGAGCUGCCACAGGGUUUGCUCUGUACUGAAGGUGUACAUGAAAGCAGGACUUGUCCAUGAGUGUGUCUACACUUGGAUCUGCAUUGUAGUACAGCUGUGAUGCUUCCUGGCUGUCCAGAGCCUCAAGCACAGCCCUGUUCCUCCCAGCAAUAUGUUGGUGAGGUUCUUAUACCUUUUCACUGGUUUGAAAAUCAGCCACUGCCAGUCUCAGUUAAGGCACUGCCAGAUGGAGUUGGGGCUGAGCUUCUGAUUUUGAUCUGAAAUUGCCUGGUGACUUGUCAAAAGCAGUAAGAGUCACCAGGAAAAGAGCUGGAGUGAAACCUUGCAGACACUGGACUUGUGGGCAGGGAGCUCUUCAGACCUUACUUCUGCCCACAGAAAGAUUUUGUUUGGCUCUCAAAGUGAUCUGAAUCCCAGUUCCCUCCUUCUCCCACCACUGCCACCCUGACUAAUCAUGUCAAUCUCAGCAAAACUGGCUUCUAGCACCAAGCUUUUUGUAAUGUCCUACUUCACAGGACUCAAGCAACAUGGGACAAUCUAAAGAAAAGAAAGGGACAGUGCAAUUAAGUGAAGGCAUACCAGAGACAGGGAAGGUUUAAACUCCUUGAGAAUCUUUGUAAAGCUGGAACUGAGACAAAGCCCUGAUUCCUCAAAUCCCCCAACACCUGGAAGUCAACUGGGAGGCUCACAGCACAGGCAAAAUUAUUCCACUUUUACUGACAUUAUCAUCAUCACUCCUACCAAGCAAGCAGUGAUGGAAGAAAAACAUCAUCCAAGGAACUGUGUCCACCAUGCAUUUGUACACAAUAUGGCUUUAGUUGCAAUCAAAGGCUGAAAAUAAAGGUCAAGUAAAUAUCCUUUGAAGUCAACACAAAGAUAUCUGUUGACUUGAGUGGGCAUUGGCUGAGGACCACAAGCUGCAGGAGGAAAUCUGAAUCACUGUGGUCCCAUACAGGACUCUAUUAAGGAAUGGCUUUGCCUCCUUGAGAAGCCACUGGUGUCAGAGCCAGCAGAACUGGGAGCCCAUGGCUGCCAAAUCAGAAGCAUGGAUUUAACAAAACCCCUGUGCUGUGGUGUUCCCAUUCAAUUCUGAUCUGCAGAGGAGUUGCAUGCUGGUCCAUAACUCUCGCCACUUACCCACACCAUCCUGUCCCAUUUGUAGGGAGUCACCCUUCUAGAACUACUAUUUUCCUACUUGUGAAAGGGGACAGGGUCAUCAGCUGGGGCACCAGCUCAGAAUCUGGCCUCUUUUAGGUUUUUUUUCUCCUCCUUCAUCUAGAAGAAAUGGCAACCCAUACUAAUUUUUAAAACUGGAAAAACUAUCAGAUCAGAUUCAAUUAGCCUCUUUCCACCCCUUGCACAUGCAUGAAAUAAAGCUUCUGUUAUUGGAGUUUAGCUGACGAUGCUUUUGUGCAAGGAAGGAAAGGCUCCAGUUAGUUUUUCUGUAACUGAAGCCAUAUGGAAUUGAAACUUGUUGAAUCAAUAAUGAAACAUGUCUGUGUCACAGAGCAGUUUUGAUUCCAAGACAUACAAUGGACUGUUUGCAAAGUCACAUUGCUGGUUAAAAUUACAUUUUUUUUUUAAUGGACAAAUAAUACAGGGACUCAGCUGCUUAGGAGGAUAUGGUCUAGUUGAUUGCCUGAGAAAGUUAAAAAAAUUCCCAACCAGCCUGAGGUUCUCUGUUGACUCAUUUUCAUAAGACAUUUAAGCACUGUGGCAAAUUCUUGCCAGCCAUUUAGGCAAGUAGCUUAAGACACAUCAAGAAACACAAAGCAAAAAUUAUUUCAGUGUCCUAAUUUCCCAUCCAUCCUUCCCAAUACAUGCACAGUAGCUGCACUGAGAAGCAGGUGAGUUGCUAAUGCAGAUUAAGUUGUCCUUUGAGAAGCCACUGCAAUUAAUCCACCCAGUAACCCCCAAACAAGAAAUACUGCCGUGACACAUCAGUGUUUCCAGAUUUGGAAAGGAUUUGACAAAUGCCAAACUGAACUUGCACAGCAAGUGAACUGUGGUGGAGAAAAGAGUGUGCAGCCUCUAGAGGAGGGAAUGGAGUAUCUAAGAGGGUAAAUAACUUACUUGCUCAAUGGUAAUUAUUUUUUGUUAUAUUUAGAUGCUAGGCAGUAAAGAAGGGUGGUGGAGAAUAUCAGAGCUGCUUCAGAAAAGCCUGCAGGUGACUAGAAAUAUCUUCAUUUCCUGUUAGCAUGCAGGUAGCGUGCCCACAGCCACCUGAAUUCUGAUUAUAUUACAAUAUGAGGUAUUCCCCCUCGUUUUGAUUCUUGGCCUCAGUGUCACGCAGUUUUGUAACGUGAAUGUAAAGUAGCAUUUUGUGGAACUCAAAAAGCUUUGGUAAUUUUUUUCAAAAUGCUGAGCAUUUCUAAAUGUCCUUUCUUGGCAGUGCUGGGCUGAGUCUGCCCUGACAAGAUCACAUUUCAUAAUCUCUUGCUUCCUACCAGCUCUGGGUAUGAGGCAAACAUAAGACCCCCGUGCUCUUCAAGCAGGAGGAAUGUUCCAUGGUGGUGGACUCCGGGCUGGCAGCUCAGGUUUCCUCCUCAGGGACUGAGGGAGCAGAUGCCUGGAGCUGGUGUUCUUUCUUUCCUCUCUGAUUCAGUGUUGGGUAAUUAAGGACUGAAAGGUUGCCUUAAGUGCAGCUUUGGGAAUUGUAUUUUUCUGCAGAUGGUGUUCCCUCUUAUCAGUUAUUGCAUUGCAAUAGGGCCAAAAAAUACGAUGCAGAUAUGAUCCUUUCUUGUAAAGGUUUAGUAUUGCAACACAAUAGCCAUGGAGGCAGAUAAGAAGAUAUCUGGGAUUGUGGUGCACUGUGGCACUGUAAAUGGAAGUAACUUGAGCCAGAGUGCACUGGAAAGAGGCAGGCACUGGUGGCAAAUCAUUCAAAUCCCAGCCCAGUGCCUCCAGUACAGAAUUUGAGUCCUGUAGCAAGGGAAUCAAAACACCACAGGGGAUGAAAUCAUUACUAACCAAAAUAGUUGACAUCAUCCGUGGUUGUAUGGGAACCUGCCUUGGUAGGAGUAUAUAUAUAUACACAUAUAUAAAAAUUUCCUGGUGUGGAUUUUCCAUAGCAAUUUAUCACUUCGGCAAAAAUAAAAACCUCAACAAAACCCAAACAAAUGAAGUGGAAAAACAAGAGUGCAAUGUCUCAUAAUAAGCUCUUUCUGUUGUGGCAGCAGCUGCAGUUUCUCCUCUCAGAUUUCUUUUCUGUUAUUACCCAGAAAGAAUCAGCAGCUGCUUAGGAAAUAUUCCAGAAAGAUUCAUUGAGAAGUGCCUGGCUGUUUUUCACAUAUUAAUCUGACAGAAGUAACGUCUUCAAGGAAGGGACUAACUCUCCUGGUCUUUGUUUGCUCCUCAGAAAUUAGUGGGUUCUGAUAAUGUGGUUAUCUAAAAAGAAAUAACAGGAGGAAAAAUAAAGAAAUCACAUGUCCUGGUGAUGGGAGACAAGUAGAUUUUUUAUGUCACAGAGAGGGUGUGGGAAUUGCCUAGGUUAUUUUAAUGGUCGUGUUUGCAUCUCUUCAAAAACUUUUGCACAACCAGACUGCUUCCCUAAUGGGCAUAUCCGGGGGCAACACCCAUAAGAGGGAUCAUUUGGAAGAGAUGUAACACACUGAAAGUAGGAGGCCUUCAGGACGUAUUAACUCUGGAGUUAUUUCGGUGCUGUUGUGCUCUGUGCUUUAGGACUGGAGUGUGCAGCCACCAGAGUCUGGAUGGGGAAGCUGCUGGGGUGGAGCUCAGUGGCAAGUCCAGACCAGGGGCUCCGAGCAGGCACUCCCAGGGCCGAAUUUCCCUUUUCUUUCUUGCGUGGCUUCUUUUAGCUGGGAUGCCUCCUCAACAAGAACGUUCCUCUCCUAAUGUGGAUGCCUCAGGAGAGGCAGAGCUGGUGCCUGACCCCAUUCAGGGAUCUGGCAACUGGUUCUUAUUAAAAAGGUCAAGGGAUAGAUAUGGGCAAUCAUGCCAAGGCUCAGCAUUCCCUCAAAAUUUGGCUGGAAGCUGUCACCCUGAGCCUUUUCCCUGCCAUUGCCCCGGAUACAGGACAAAUCACAUUCCCAUUCCCUGGUCUCUGGUGCAUGAGGGCACAAUUCAAAUGUCAUCUUUUGAAUGAUGUUUGCCCAUCAUUCAACAUCAAAGCAUCUUUGCCCUUCCCCUGUCCUUCUGUGUCACAGGCAGCUCUGCCUCUGAGCUCACUCCUGGCAAAAAUCCAAAACUCCCGUCAGCAUCCAGAAGUGGAGACAUGGAUCUUCACAGAGCAUUAUGGAGCCUCCAAAGAGCAUGGAUCUCGCUUCAUAGAAAACUCAAUGAAAAAGUUGUUCCUCCUUUUCUGCUGUCAUUAGCAACUAGGGGGGAAAAAAUCUCCCUACAAACCCCAAAAAAGUAGCAUAUGAUUCUUCCCACAGAAGGACUGAGUAAAAGCAGUUUGGAUCUGUAAUGUCCAGCACUGCAAAACACUGUCCACUGAAGUAUACAAGCUCUUGGGAAUGUGGGAGAGAUAAUUGGAGGUUAAUAGAGCUUUUACUGCUGGCUGCCUGGCCGAUUAUUUCUAUGAAAAAAUCCCGACAUUUUUCCCUUUAUUGAAGUGAGUUCAUGAUCAUCUAUAUAAAAGAAAGCUGUAUUCUGAGAACACAUAUGCAUUUGCAUAUGGAUGGUGUUCUCUUGGAAAUUAUUUGAAUAAAAAUAAAAGAAGAAUGAAAACAGGAGUUUUCACUCAAGGGAAAAGUUAAUGAACUCACUUCUCUUUCUUUCACUCCCUGAUUAAAUAUUAUGUUACCACUUUAUCUUUGUGCAUGAAGAGUAAAGCCCAAUUCUGUAUUUUGCCAGCUUCAUUCAUGAAGCUUUGUAUUAUUUUUACUGCAAUAAAAAACUAAAAAUUACUCUCUUCACAUGAGAAGCAGAAUGGAGAAGAGCAGUAAUUCCCCACAGUAUGGAGAAAGGAGAAAGUAAAAGACGAGACAUCUUCUUUUGUUUGUUUGAAUAGGCAUGAGAUGUGCUCCAACAUGUGCUGGCAGGAGCAGUUGGAGAAGAUCAGCUACAGAAUCUCAUCAAGAAAUGCAAAAGACAUGACCUGCUAUCUAAGGCUACCCAGCUGUACUGAUCCUCCGUGACAAGCUCUGGAAAUGCAGUGAUACUUCCUUUUGUACUACUCUUUCCCUGCUCCUCAGUCCCUCCUGCUCUGAAGUCAUCUUGCUUGCAUGAAACACCACUCCACAGCAUGGUGGUAGGUGAGGAGCUGGCCUGAAAGCCCAUGGGAAGUCUGAGUGGCAGGGAAUGUACCAGCUCUCAUCCCUUCCAGCAACAGGGAAAUGCUGUUUCCCUCAGGGAUACAAGAAAAUAGCCAGAGCCCCCAUGCAGACUUGCCAAGCUUGCUCACUCAUCUGUGCAAGGGCUGGAGUGGAGGUCUCCUUAAAACAAUGCUAAUAGGAUUUAUUCAUGCUGGUUUUAUCAACCCUUCUUAUUCUGCUAUAAGACAUGGAGUUCAUGAAUAACAGCCACUACUCUGCAGUCACAGAAGUGUAUUUUGAGGGACACAGUAUGUGUAACCUCAUUGAACAUUUCCCAGUGACUUUAUAUGCACACACUGUGCUCUCACAGAGAGCCAAAAUUUGCCCUCUUCUGAAGUCCCUUGGGUCUAAAUUAGUGAGACUUUCAUACAUCGUGAUUUGAAUCUGAAUGUGUUUCCUUGCUUGCAGUCCCUGCGGUCACAGAGUAGGCAAGGGGACUUUGUGCUGUGGUUUACCUUGUGCCUUCUGGGGGUUUUGGGGUGUCCUGAAGAACCACAUGAUCAGCAGACACAUUCCCUGUUCUGCCAACACAGGAGCAGCUUCUAACAGUGGCAUCUUCCAGAAUGCCAAGGCACAGGUAUAUGGAGCGUCCCAGCAGAGAACAGGAGCCCUCAGCUGCCAGCUCAGCUGAAGGUCUGGGGUGAGAUACAGCUUCUCUGAGUAACUUCUCUGACCAUUAUCCAAGACUCACAGAAGAUGUGCUGGAUGAGCUGAUGAGCCUUUUGUACUGCAGAUCUCCUCAAAACGCUGCAGGGUCAACAGCACAGUGCCAAACUAGAAUCAAUGAGGCCUUACGCAGACACUCAAGAAUAACAAGUCAACCAGUGGUUUUGCAGGCAGAUUGUAACAGCUUGUUAUCUGAUGUCCUCUGGGCACAAACACUGAGACAUCUGCAGUUUUUGACCUUUUUUUUUGUCUCUGCUGGCUCAAUAGCUAGUUAGCUGGUCAUUCGAUGUGAAAACAAAACAGAGGGAAGGAGAGCAAAUUGCAAUAGGCAGGAGAUGCUGGGCUAUUAGGAUGUCAAAAGGACUGGAAAUAUAUGAGUACAGAGGUUGCUUAGCUCUCCUUUAUUAUUUGUGCAUUAAGCUCACUGAGAUGGUUUUUGGAACUCUGUUAAAAACAGGGUUUCAAUAUGCCAGUUGUCACUGAACUUUUAUAUUGGUUUUAUUUUGCAUGUAUUUUGCAUCUCUAUUCUCUUUGCUUGGCACUGCAAGUUAGAAAUUAACCUGAAAAACACACAUUGAGACUUCACCGACUUUCCCAGAUCUUUUUCUUUUUGUCUGAGAACACAAAGCUCUCUUCAUAGCAUCUCCUCUAGUCCCAUCAAGGGGAGGGAAGAUCCCCAGAAGACUGACUUUUGGAUCAUGCUUUGUACUGAGAUCUCAGUUCCUUGGAAUGCAGUGACUGCACUAGUUUAUAUGGAUGGGGGUGUGGAGCCUCCUUCCUGUUUCUAGGCUCUUGUUAAUAAACAGUGUGCCCACAUUCUCAGACAGGGCCCUAAUCACCAGUCUUAGUCUAAUCUCUUAAUUAAUUCCUGUUAAUGUAAAUGGACUCGAAAAGAUUCUUUUAACUGUAGUGUUCAAGAAAUUAGAGGUCCUUUUUUGAAGAGACAGUGUGUUUCUUCUUUCAUGGUUCUGGUAUAAUGACAGCACUGUCAUGCUGUAUGAGAAGGAUUUCCCACAUCCUAUGGUGCUCACUUCUCAUCCCUGGAUUAUAGAUUAUUUUAAAUCAACUCAGGAUAGUAGGUGACAGCUCAGUGUACAUUAUGUGUAGCAUUUCAGUCUAGCACAGGCAGAGACCUUCUGGCCUCUUGUUUCCAUAAUUUCUGUGUCUCAGAAUGGCCUAAAGUCAAGGUUGGGUUACACACCUUGUAUAAUAGAAGGCAACAAUAUGUGAAGUUCUGGGACCUGCCAAAGAAAUGCACUGUUCCUGCUUCUGAUUUAAUUUGAUUUAUUCUCAUCACAUGGAUGUCCUAUUCAUUGCAAUCAAAGUCAGAAAAGGAUUUCAGCCUGUUUCUGAUGUGGGAAGACAGCAGUCCCACAGGUAAAAAACACAAAGAAGAGCUAAGUUCAGAUUGACCUUACUGAAAAAAAGCAAGAUCCCAAAAUGGAGUGCAACUGGUCAGUAUCAAGAGAGUGAAUCUGGAGCAGGGUAAGAAUUGCAGAAUUGUACCUGCCCAUGUUAUAAACAGAGACUCCCCUCUCGUGACUUCAAUUUUGCCUAGGAGAAUCCAUAUAAAAACAAAUAAAUGCCAAGAGAAAUGUU